GGUUAAGCGACUAAGCGUACACGGUGGAUGCCCUGGCAGUCAGAGGCGAUGAAGGACGUGCUAAUCUGCGAAAAGCGUCGGUAAGGUGAUAUGAACCGUUAUAACCGGCGAUGUCCGAAUGGGGAAACCCAGUGCAAUUCGUUGCACUAUCGUUAACUGAAUACAUAGGUUAACGAGGCGAACCGGGGGAACUGAAACAUCUAAGUACCCCGAGGAAAAGAAAUCAACCGAGAUUCCCCCAGUAGCGGCGAGCGAACGGGGAGCAGCCCAGAGUCUGAAUCAGCUUGUGUGUUAGUGGAACGGUCUGGAAAGUCCGACGGUACAGGGUGAUAGUCCCGUACACCAAAAUGCACAGGCUGUGAACUCGAAGAGUAGGGCGGGACACGUGGUAUCCUGUCUGAAUAUGGGGGGACCAUCCUCCAAGGCUAAAUACUCCUGACUGACCGAUAGUGAACCAGUACCGUGAGGGAAAGGCGAAAAGAACCCCGGCGAGGGGAGUGAAAAAGAACCUGAAACCGUGUACGUACAAGCAGUGGGAGCACCUUCGGGUGUGACUGCGUACCUUUUGUAUAAUGGGUCAGCGACUUAUAUUCUGUAGCAAGGUUAACCGUAUAGGGGAGCCGCAGGGAAACCGAGUCUUAACUGGGCGUUAAGUUGCAGGGUAUAGACCCGAAACCCGGUGAUCUAGCCAUGGGCAGGUUGAAGGUUGGGUAACACUAACUGGAGGACCGAACCGACUAAUGUUGAAAAAUUAGCGGAUGACUUGUGGCUGGGGGUGAAAGGCCAAUCAAACCGGGAGAUAGCUGGUUCUCCCCGAAAGCUAUUUAGGUAGCGCCUCGUGAACUCAUCUUCGGGGGUAGAGCACUGUUUCGGCUAGGGGGUCAUCCCGACUUACCAACCCGAUGCAAACUACGAAUACCGAAGAAUGUUAUCACGGGAGACACACGGCGGGUGCUAACGUCCGUCGUGAAGAGGGAAACAACCCAGACCGCCAGCUAAGGUCCCAAAGUCAUGGUUAAGUGGGAAACGAUGUGGGAAGGCACAGACAGCCAGGAUGUUGGCUUAGAAGCAGCCAUCAUUUAAAGAAAGCGUAAUAGCUCACUGGUCGAGUCGGCCUGCGCGGAAGAUGUAACGGGGCUAAACCAUGCACCGAAGCUGCGGCAGCGACACUAUGUGUUGUUGGGUAGGGGAGCGUUCUGUAAGCCUGCGAAGGUGUGCUGUGAGGCAUGCUGGAGGUAUCAGAAGUGCGAAUGCUGACAUAAGUAACGAUAAAGCGGGUGAAAAGCCCGCUCGCCGGAAGACCAAGGGUUCCUGUCCAACGUUAAUCGGGGCAGGGUGAGUCGACCCCUAAGGCGAGGCCGAAAGGCGUAGUCGAUGGGAAACAGGUUAAUAUUCCUGUACUUGGUGUUACUGCGAAGGGGGGACGGAGAAGGCUAUGUUAGCCGGGCGACGGUUGUCCCGGUUUAAGCAUGUAGGCUGGUUAUCCAGGCAAAUCCGGAUAAUCAAGGCUGAGGUGUGAUGACGAGGCACUACGGUGCUGAAGUAACAAAUGCCCUGCUUCCAGGAAAAGCCUCUAAGCAUCAGGUAACAUCAAAUCGUACCCCAAACCG
rnacentral:rRNA from 1 species